AUACGGGGGGAGCAAGCGUUGUCCGGAAUCAUUGGGCGUAAAGGGCACGUAGGCGGUUUCUUAAGUCGAAUGUGAAAUCUCACGGCUCAACCGUGAAACUGCGUUCGAAACUAAGUGACUUGAGUUUGGGAGAGGUGUACGGAAUUCCUGGUGUAGCGGUGGAAUGCGUAGAUAUCAGGAAGAACACCAAUGGCGGAUGCAGUACACUGGCCUGAAACUGACGCUGAGGUGCGAAAGCGUGGGGAGCAAACAGGAUUAGAAACCCCGGGUAGUCC
rnacentral:rRNA from 1 species